CGACCACGGAUGAGAAGAGCAGGAUCGGACGUCUAUGCAAUGGGCUACUACAUGGAAGGGGCCUACUGGAAUUGAAUAGUGCACAACCUGAACGUCUGUACAUGGCAGCUUUACCUGUACUGCUUACAGCUUCUCCUCCUUCCUCCUUCUGGACUGCAGUCUCCUCGGGUAACCAGAGCUUCUCUGGGCCCUGGGACAGAAAGGGGUUUCAAUGGGACAAGCAGUCGCCGAGUGGGGGAGCCGAGGGCCCCUUGAAGAUGAAGGAGCACUUCUGGUGUGGUUCCGAUUGUCUUUGGUCCCUG
rnacentral:lncRNA from 1 species